rnacentral:rRNA from 1 species
UACGUAGGGGGCAAGCGUUGUCCGGAUUUAUUGGGCGUAAAGAGCGUGUAGGCGGCCGCACAGGUCCGUUGUGAAAACUGGAGGCUUAACCUUCAGACGUCGAUGGAAACCGUGCGGCUAGAGUCCGGAAGAGGAGAAUGGAAUUCCUGGUGUAGCGGUGAAAUGCGCAGAUAUCAGGAGGAACACCGGUGGCGAAGGCGGUUCUCUGGGCCUGUACUGACGCUGAGGAGCGAAAGCGUGGGGAGCGAACAGG